rnacentral:misc_RNA from 1 species
AUGGGGUCAUUCUACACUUUUAAAAGGGGGUUUGUGUGAAAACGCAAGCGCCCUCCUGGAUCGGUUUGAUCCCAAAGGGUGCCCACGCGGUGGUGCACAAAAGGGUGAGAUGGAUUUUAUGCGAGAGGACACGCUCCGGGCGUGCACGACCUUUUGCGUUAAAAAGUCAGCGACAGCCCUCACAUGCCUCACACAUUUUGUACGAUAAUGAUCCUUCCGCAGGUUCACCUACGGAAACCUUGUUACGACUUUUACUUCCUCUAAAUGACCAAGA